rnacentral:rRNA from 1 species
GCGAACGCUGGCGGCAGGCCUCACACAUGCAAGUCGAACGAACUCUUCGGAGUUAGUGGCGGACGGGUGAGUAACACGUGGGAACGUGCCUUUUGGUUCGGAAUAACUCAGGGAAACUUGUGCUAAUACCGAAUGUGCCCUUCGGGGGAAAGAUUUAUCGCCAUUAGAGCGGCCCGCGUCUGAUUAGCUAGUUGGUGAGGUAACGGCUCACCAAGGCGACGAUCAGUAGCUGGUCUGAGAGGAUGACCAGCCACACUGGGACUGAGACACGGCCCAGACUCCUACGGGAGGCAGCAGUGGGGAAUCUUGCGCAAUGGGCGAAAGCCUGACGCAGCCAUGCCGCGUGAAUGAUGAAGGUCUUAGGAUUGUAAAAUUCUUUCACCGGGGACGAUAAUGACGGUACCCGGAGAAGAAGCCCCGGCUAACUUCGU